rnacentral:snoRNA from 1 species
GUGUCUCUGUAUGUAUGUGUCUGUGUGUGUGUCUCUGUAUGUAUGUGUCUGUAUCAUACAGACACAUACAUACAGAGACACACACACAUACAGACACAUGCAUACAGAGACGCACACAG